GUGAGGAAUAUUGGGCAAUGGGCGAAAGCCUGACCCAGCCACGCCGCGUGAGUGAUGAAGGCCUUCGGGUUGUAAAGCUCUGUGGGGAGGGAAGAAAAAGCGCAGGAGUAACUGCCUGUGUGUUGACGGUACCUCCUUAGCAAGCACCGGCUAACUCUGUGCCAGCAGCCGCGGUAAUACAGAGGGUGCAAACGUUGCUCGGAAUUACUGGGCGUAAAGCGAGUGUAGGCUGACAUGCAAGUCGGGUGUGAAAUCCCAGGGCUCAACCUUGGAAAUGCCCUCGAAACUGCAAGUCUUGAGUACUGGAGAGGGAAGCGGAAUUCCGGGUGUAGAGGUGAAAUUCGUAGAUAUCCGGAGGAACACCAGUGGCGAAGGCGGCUUCCUGGACAGUAACUGACGCUGAGACGCGAAAGCGUGGGGAGCAAACAGGAUUAGAAACCCCGGUAGUCC
rnacentral:rRNA from 1 species